rnacentral:rRNA from 1 species
AAAAGAAACUAACAAGGAUUCCCUCAGUAGCGGCGAGCGAAGCGGGAACAGCCCGGUAUGAAAAUCUCUUUGGAGAGUUGUAGUCCGAACACGCCUGGGUGGUCAGUGCGGGCAAGUCGUCUGGGAUGACGCGCCAUGGAGGGUGAGAGCCCCGUCCAACCUGCACAGGAUUUCACUCGUUACGGUGUGUUUUUUAACCGAGUCGGGUAGUUUGGGAAUGCUGCUCUAAUUUUGGUGGUAAAUCUCAUCAAAGGCUAAAUAAAAGUGGGAGACCGAUAGCGAACAAGUACCGUGAGGGAAAGAUGGAAAGAACUUUGAAAAGAGAGUGAAAAGCACUUGAAACCGUCAUGGGGGAAGCGAAUUGCGUUAGUGAUGUUUGUGGCUGUUCAGCUUUCUUUUUGAGGUGAUGAAAGUCAUUUCAUAGAAAGUGCAUUCUGGCACAGACAGGCCUGCGUGGCUGGCGGGAGUGUGACGAGACGGCGAAUGGGCGUGGCCGGGUCAUUUUAUGGCUCUGUUGCGUUUGUUUUGUUGACACUUGGCACUCGUUCGCUGGUGAGGGCUCCCCUGAAACAUGGGUGAGGACGCUGGCGAAAUGACGCAAUACGACCCGUCUUGAAACACGGACCAAGGAGUCUAGCACGGCUGCGAGUCGAAGGGUGUGAAAAACCCAGUGGGCGCAGUGAAAGCGAAAACGUUGUUUAUUUUUUUGUUUAUUUAUAGGCAAAAAGGCAUCGGCAAAGCAAAUUGGGGAGGCGUUGCGGUUCUACCAAAAUGUCCUACCUUGAGCAGGUGUGCUGGGACCCGAAAGAUGGUGAACUAUGCCGGAGUAGGGCAAAGCCAGAGGAAACUCUGGUGGAGGCUCGUAGCGAUGCUGACGUGCAAAUCGCUCGUCGAACUUGGGUAUAGGGGCGAAAGACUAAUCGAACCAUCUAGUAGCUGGUUCCCUCCGAAGUUUCUCUCAGGAUAGCGGGCCGACAAAAAGACAAAUGUGAAAUGUUGUUCUGUGCGGUAAAGCGAAUGAUUAGUGCAUUUGGGGGCCGAAGGCCUUCGGGCGAUUCUCAAACUUUAAAUGCGCAGGGGGGCGGCUGCUUAAUAUGAGCCUGCUCUUUGAAAAACGUCGGCUCCGUGGGCCACUUUUGGUAAGCAGAACUGGCGAUAAGGGAUGAACCUUAAGCGCGGUUAAGGCGCCGCAUUGCCCGCUUAUAGAGCCCACAAAAGGUGUUGAUUCAUUUAGACAGCAGGACGGUGGCCAUGGAAGUCGGAAUCCGCUAAGGAGUGUGUAACAACUCACCUGCCGAAUGAAUUAGCCCUGAAAAUGGAUGGCGCUGAAGCGGGCAGCCGACACCGCGCCGUUCGGACAAACGUAUGAAAAUUGGAUUUUUGGUCCGAAUGAGUAGGAGGGCGUGGCGGUCUGUGACGCAGGCGUGGGUGCAAACCCCGCUGAAACGGCCGCUAGUGCAGAUCUUGGUGGUAGUAGCAAAUAUUCAAGCGAGAACCUUGAAGGGCGAAGUGGGGAAGGGUUCCAUGCUAACAUUGAUUGGGCGUGGGUGAGUC